UUGUUUAAAUAAAAGAUCUGGCCUGCCCAAUGAUAUGUUUUAAUGGCUGCAGUAUAUUGACUGUACAAAGGUAGCAUAAUCAUUUGUCCUUUAAUUGAGGUCUGGAAUGAAGGGUUGGAUGAAAAGUAUACUUUCUUUAUUUUAUAUAUAAAAUUUAAUUUUUGAAUUAAAAAGUUUAAAUGUUAAUAUAGGACGAGAAGACCCUAUAGAGCUUUAUUUUCUUAAUGAUAGUUAUUUAUUUGUAAAUAAUUUUUUUUUAUUAUUGGGGAAAUUUCGUUGGGGUGACGGAAAAAAUUAAAUAACUUUUUCUAUAUUGUUUAUUUGUCUAUAAUUUUUUGACCCUUUAUUAAGGGUAAAAAGAUCAAGCUACCUUAGGGAUAACAGCGUUAUUAUUUUAGAGAGUUCAUAUUGAUAAAAUACUUYGCGACCUCGAUGUUGGAUUAAAAUUAGUUUYAGGGGCAGAAAAUUGAUUUACUAGGUCUGUUCGACCUUUAAAUUUU
rnacentral:rRNA from 1 species